rnacentral:siRNA from 1 species
GACGUCCUUGAUGUUGAGUGGU